rnacentral:rRNA from 1 species
GGCUCAGAACGAACGCUGGCGGCGUGCCUAACACAUGCAAGUCGAGCGAGAAAGCCCGCAAGGGUGAGUAAAGCGGCGCACGGGUGCGUAACACGUGGGUAAUCUGCCCUAGAGUCCGGAAUAACUCGCCGAAAGGCGUGCUAAUGCCGGAUGAGACCACGGGAGCCUCGGCUCUCGCGGGAAAAGGUGGCCUCUGUACACAAGCCAUCGCUCUUGGAUGAGCCCGCGGCCCAUCAGCUCGUUGGCGGGGUAAUGGCCCACCAAGGCUACGACGGGUAGCUGGUCUGAGAGGACGAUCAGCCACACUGGAACUGAGACACGGUCCAGACUCCUACGGGAGGCAGCAGUGGGGAAUCUUGCGCAAUGGGCGAAAGCCUGACGCAGCAACGCCGCGUGUGUGAUGAAGGUCUUCGGAUCGUAAAGCACUGUCGCGAGGGACGAAUAAGGGCCGGGUUAACAGCCCGGUCCGAUGACGGUACCUCGAGAGGAAGCACCGGCUAACUCUGUGCCAGCAGCCGCGGUAAUACAGAGGGUGCAAGCGUUGUUCGGAAUUAUUGGGCGUAAAGCGCGUGUAGGCGGCUUGGCAAGUCGGAUGUGAAAGCCCUCGGCUUAACCGAGGAAGUGCGUUCGAAACUGCCUGGCUUGAGUACCGGAGAGGGUGGCGGAAUUCCCGGUGUAGAGGUGAAAUUCGUAGAUAUCGGGAGGAACACCAGCGGCGAAGGCGGCCACCUGGACAGAUACUGACGCUGAGACGCGAAAGCGUGGGUAGCAAACAGGAUUAGAUACCCUGGUAGUCCACGCUGUAAACGAUGAGCGCUAGGUGUUGUGGGUGUUGACCCCCGCAGUGCCGCAGCUAACGCAUUAAGCGCUCCGCCU